rnacentral:rRNA from 1 species
GACGAACGCUGGCGGCGUGCUUAACACAUGCAAGUCGAACGGAAAGGCCCCUUUGGGGGUACUCGAGUGGCGAACGGGUGAGUAACACGUGAGUAACCUGCCCUUGACUUCGGGAUAACUUCAGGAAACUGGGGCUAAUACCGGAUAGGAAUCCUUGCUGCAUGGUGGGGGUUGGAGAGCUUCGGCGGGUUUGGAUGGACUCGCGGCUUAUCAGCUUGUUGGUGGGGUAGUGGCUUACCAAGGCUUUGACGGGUAGCCGGCCUGAGAGGGCGACCGGCCACAUUGGGACUGAGAUACGGCCCAGACUCCUACGGGAGGCAGCAGUGGGGAAUAUUGCACAAUGGGCGGAAGCCUGAUGCAGCAACGCCGCGUGCGGGAUGACGGCCUUCGGGUUGUAAACCGCUUUCAGCAGGGGCGAAGCUUGUGGUGACGGUACCUGCAGAAGAAGCACCGGCUAACUACGUG